GACGAACGCUGGCGGCGUGCUUAACACAUGCAAGUCGAACGGAAAGGCCCUGCUUGCAGGGUACUCGAGUGGCGAACGGGUGAGUAACACGUGGGUGAUCUGCCCUGCACUUCGGGAUAAGCCUGGGAAACUGGGUCUAAUACCGGAUAGGAGCCAUUUUUAGUGUGAUGGUUGGAAAGUUUUUUCGGUGUAGGAUGAGCUCGCGGCCUAUCAGCUUGUUGGUGGGGUAAUGGCCUACCAAGGCGGCGACGGGUAGCCGGCCUGAGAGGGUGGACGGCCACAUUGGGACUGAGAAACGGCCCAGACUCCUACGGGGGGCAGCAGUGGGGAAUAUUGCACAAUGGGCGCAAGCCUGAUGCAGCGACGCCGCGUGGGGGAUGACGGCCUUCGGGUUGUAAACUCCUUUCGCUAGGGACGAAGCUUUUUGUGACGGUACCUAGAUAAGAAGCACCGGCUAACUACGUG
rnacentral:rRNA from 1 species